GACGCCCCUGGAAACGCAACUAUUUAGUGGCUACGAUGCACAGUGGAACGAAUGCGUGUUAAAUGUUGGAUAUGAGACUUAAUUUCUUUUUCUAAAAUGGAAUAUCGAAUGAGACACUAUUUCGCCGUUUUUACAGAGGUUUAAACUUUACUGUUUUCAAACAGAUAAAAUCGUGUUGAAAAUAUAAAAAUUCGAGUUUUUUUUUGCCCAAGUUACGGUAGGUUAUUUUAAAGUCAUUAUUUGUUUAAUGAGUUGCGACAUUCUCGUAAUUUUUCCGGAAAAUUGAUUUACCUGAAAUGUAAAAUGAGGUCAGUGCCACUGUUGUUUCGAUUUGUGAUGUUUCAUGAUUAUCCUAUUACUUUUUGCGUGUUUUUAUGACAAAAAUACCUACCCACGGGAACAAAAGUGCCUUUACAAUGUAUUUGUAACUAUGCAGCUUGAACAAAUCUGGCUCAUACAGAGUAAAAUACGAGCCAGUUUCAGUCAAGCUCUGAAGAAGCCAACAGGAUGAUUGGCGAAACGUCAGCAAUUUCGACUAAGCAAAAACCGACGCAGGAGGAAUCCAGAAGUUUUAUAAACAGCAAAAUUUUAAUAAUAAUAAUAAUUUGAAGAUUUAUAUCGAUAGUAGGUUAAUAGGAAAUGUUUCAGAAAUGAAGUAUCUGGGACUAGUUCUAGAUUCUCAAUUAAAUUUCUCACAACUAGAUUUUAUUUGUACAAAAGAUAGGUUUUUUUGCGUAGACUUUCGCCUGAGCUUAGCCACUGGAGCAGCCCUCAUUUUUGGUAUUGUAAUUCGCUUCUAAUUCCCUGUAGAAACAGUGAUGUUCAUAGAAUACAAGUGCUACAAAAUAAAGCCAUUCUGGGUUGUACACGUUACAUUCCGAUUCGUGUAAUGAUUAUUUAGCGUGGUUGUCAGUGUCUAAGAGUAUUGAGUUCUUUAAUGUUUUACUGAUAUAUAAAAUGAAAAAUUAAUUACUUCCAUGCUACUUACAGGAUUAUUUAGUUCUUUGGUCGUAUAAACAUUCUCAUAAUAUUAGCGGUAAAAAUGAUUUUGAUAUUCAGUUUGUUAAAACUCUACAAAUGCAAAAAGGCCUCUUUAGUGAUGGGCUUCGAUUAUUGAAUGCUCUGCCGAUCGACACCAAAAAUUUACCGAAUGUAAAACGCUGAAAUAUACUUAUAUUAGCUAAUGAUAACAA